UACGUAGGGUGCGAGCGUUGUCCGGAAUUAUUGGGCGUAAAGGGCUCGUAGGCGGUCUGUUGCGUCGGGGAGUGAAAACUCAGGGCUUAACCCUGAGCCUGCUUCCGAUACGGGCAGACUAGAGGUAUGCAGGGGAGAACGGAAUUCCUGGUGUAGCGGUGAAAUGCGCAGAUAUCAGGAGGAACACCGGUGGCGAAGGCGGGUCUCUGGGCAACAACUGACGCUGAGGAGCGAAAGCGUGGGGAGCGAACAGG
rnacentral:rRNA from 1 species